AGAGUUUGAUCCUGGCUCAGGAUGAACGCUAGCUAUAGGCUUAACACAUGCAAGUCGAGGGGAAACGGCAUUAUGUGCUUGCACAUUCUGGACGUCGACCGGCGCACGGGUGAGUAUCGCGUAUCCAACCUUCCCUCCACUCGGGGAUACCCCGUUGAAAGACGGCCUAAUACCCGAUGUUGUCCACAGAUGGCAUCUGACGUGGACCAAAGAUUCAUCGGUGGAGGAUGGGGAUGCGUCUGAUUAGCUUGUUGGUGCGGGUAACGGCCCACCAAGGCAACGAUCAGUAGGGGUUCUGAAAGGAAGGUCCCCCACAUUGGAACUGAGACACGGUCCAAACUCCUACGGGAGGCAGCAGUGAGGAAUAUUGGUCAAUGGACGUAAGUCUGAACCAGCCAAGUAGCGUGCAGGAUUGACGGCCCUAUGGGUUGUAAACUGCUUUUGUUGGGGAGUAAAGUGAGGCACGCGUGCCUUUUUGCAUUUACCCUUCGAAUAAGGACCGGCUAAUUCCGUG
rnacentral:rRNA from 1 species